AAACCAACAGGGAUUGCCUUAGUAACGGCGAGUGAAGCGGCAAAAGCUCAAAUUUGAAAUCUAACGCCUUCGGCGUUCGAGUUGUAAUUUGAAGAUAUUUUCUCCGAGCAGUCCUUUAUCUAUGUUCCUUGGAACAGGACGUCAUAGAGGGUGAGAAUCCCGUAUGAUUUGGGCUCCUGCUCUUUUGUGAGAUUUUAUCGAAGAGUCGAGUUGUUUGGGAAUGCAGCUCUAAGUGGGUGGUAAAUUCCAUCUAAAGCUAAAUAUUGGCGAGAGACCGAUAGCGAACAAGUACAGUGAUGGAAAGAUGAAAAGAACUCUGAAGAGAGAGUGAAAAAGUACGUGAAAUUGCUGAAAGGGAAGGGCUUGAGGUCAGACUUGGUGUUUUACGAUUAUCUUCCCCUUGUGGGUUGUGCACUCGUUUCUCACUGGGCCAACAUCAGUUUUUCUUGCGGAGCACGCUUAGGAAUGUGGCUCUCUUCGGAGAGUGUUAUAGCCUUUGUACGAUUCGCUUGGGAGACUGAGGACUGCGCAUUAUGCUAGGAUGUUGGCGUAAUGACCUUAAGCCGC
rnacentral:rRNA from 1 species